rnacentral:misc_RNA from 1 species
UGAAAUCGGCCAGACAGAUGUCAGUG